rnacentral:lncRNA from 1 species
GAUGGACACUGCCUCAACAUAAUCGAUUAUCAUAAGGUACAUAAUCGAUUAUCUUGUAGCUUUGAAAAAUCUAAUGUACACCGCCUUAACAUAAUCGAUUAUCAUAAGGUACAUAAUCGAUUAUUGUUCUACUUUGUAAAUCUGGUGUACAUUGUCUUAACAUAAUCGAUUAUCAUAAAGUACAUAAUCGAUUAUCUUUGUCCAGAUUUGAGAGGC